UACGGAGGGCGCAAGCGUUGUUCGGAAUCACUGGGCGUAAAGCGCGUGUAGGCGGCUUUGCAAGUCGGGUGUGAAAGCCCGGGGCCUAACCCCGGAACUGCAUUCGAAACUGCCUGGCUCGAGUCCCGGAGAGGGUGGCGGAAUUCCCGGUGUAGGGGUGAAAUACGUAGAUAUCGGGAGGAACAUCAGUGGCGAAGGCGGCCACCUGGACGGUGACUGACGCUGAGACGCGAAAGCGUGGGGAGUAAACAGG
rnacentral:rRNA from 1 species